UUAGAGGAAGUAAAAGUCGUAACAAGGUUUCCGUAGGUGAACCUGCGGAAGGAUCAUUAUUGAAAUAAACUUGGUGUGGGUUGCAGCUGGCCUUUGGGCAUGUGCUCACCCUUCAUCAUCUUUAUAUUUCCACCUGUGCACCUUUUGUAGACAGGAAAGACAAGGGAAUUUAUUGUGGUGCCAUUUUAGGCCCCCAUUUAUUUCYBGUGUAUUCCUUGUCUAUGUUUUUAUAUACCCCAAAAAUGUAACAGAAUGUUAAUCUAUGGGCCUUUGUGCUUAUAAACAAAAAUUAUACAACUUUCAGCAACGGAUCUCUUGGCUCUCGCAUCGAUGAAGAACGCAGCGAAAUGCGAUAAGUAAUGUGAAUUGCAGAAUUCAGUGAAUCAUCGAAUCUUUGAACGCACCUUGCGCUCCUUGGUAUUCCGAGGAGCAUGCCUGUUUGAGUGUCAUUAAAUUAUCAAAAAAAGAUCUUCAAUGCUCUUGUUUUGGAUGUGAGGGUUUUUGUUGGCGAAAGUCGACUCCCUUGAAAUGUAUUACGCUUGGUUGACUAGACUUUGUCUAUGGGUGUGAUAAUUAUCUACGCCAUUGGAUUGWCUGCUUGUCAAACUGCUUCUAAUUGUCCCUUUAGGGACUCUAUUAAAUGACCAUUUGACCUCAAAUCAGGUAGGACUACCCGCUGAACUUAAGCAUAUC
rnacentral:rRNA from 1 species